GGGCAAGUUGUUAAGGGCACAUGGUGGAUGCCUUGGCAUCGAGAGCCGAUGAAGGACGUUGGAGCCUGCGAUAUGCCCUGGGGAGUUGGCAACCGAGCGUUGAUCCGGGGAUGUCCGAAUGGGGAAACCCAGCUGGAGUCAUGUCCAGUUACCCGCAUCUGAAUGAAAUAGGGUGUGUGGAGGGAACACGGGGAAGUGAAACAUCUCAGUACCCGUAGGAAGAGAAAACAAAAGUGAUUCCGAGAGUAGUGGCGAGCGAAAUCGGAUGAGGCUAAACCCAUGUCGUGUGAUAGCCGGCAGGCGUUGCGGUGUGGGGGUUGUGGGAGUGUUGUUGCUGUCUCUGCCGGGAUGGCGCACAGUAAGAAACCGUACGCGAGGUCGAAGUCCGUUGGAAAGCGGUGCCGGAGCGGGUGAUAGCCCCGUAGACGACAGUGUGCGGCUGUGUUCAGCAUUUCCCAAGUAACACGCCACCCCUGAAAUGGUGUGUGAAUCUGGCGGGACCACCCGUUAAGCCUAAAUACUCCUCGAUGACCGAUAGCGGACCAGUACCGUGAGGGAAAGGUGAAAAGUACCCCUGGCGGGGAGUGAAAUAGUACCUGAAACCAUGUGCCUACAAUCCGUUGGAGCCUCACUUGUGGGGUGACAGCGUGCCUUUUGAAGAAUGAGCCUGCGAGUUAGCGAUACGUGGCGAGGUUAACCCGUGUGGGGUAGCCGUAGCGAAAGCGAGUCCGAAUAGGGCGUGUGAGUCGCGUGUUCUAGACCCGAAGCGGAGUGAUCUAUCCAUGGGCAGGUUGAAGCGCCGGUAAGACGGCGUGGAGGACCGAACCCACUUCAGUUGAAAAUGGAGGGGAUGACCUGUGGAUAGGGGUGAAAGGCCAAUCAAACUCCGUGAUAGCUGGUUCUCCCCGAAAUGCAUUUAGGUGCAGCGUUGCGUGUUUCUUGCCGGAGGUAGAGCACUGGAUAGCCGAUGGGCCCUACCAGGUUACUGACGUUAGCCAAACUCCGAAUGCCGGUAAGUGAGAGCGUGGCAGUGAGACUGUGGGGGAUAAGCUUCAUAGUCGAGAGGGAAACAGCCCAGACCAUCGGCUAAGGCCCCUAAGAGGUGGCUAAGUGGAAAAGGAUGUGGAGUCGCAGUGACAACCAGGAGGUUGGCUUGGAAGCAGCCACCCUUGAAAGAGUGCGUAAUAGCUCACUGGUCAAGUGAUUCCGCGCCGACAAUGUAGCGGGGCUCAAGCCAUCCGCCGAAGCCAUGGCAAUCGUAUGUAACCCAGGCCACUACUUGUUGGUGGUCCAGGGGUACGGUUGGGUAGGGGAGCGUCGUGUCACGGGUGAAGCGCCGGAGUGAUCCAGGUGUGGAUGUGACACGAGUGAGAAUGCAGGCAUGAGUAGCGAAUCACGGGUGAGAAACCCGUGCGCCGAUUGAUCAAGGGUUCCAGGGUCAAGCUAAUCUGCCCUGGGUAAGUCGGGACCUAAGGCGAGGCCGACAGGCGUAGUCGAUGGACAACGGGUUGAUAUUCCCGUACCGGCGAAAUGGCGCCCAUGACGAGCCCGGUGAUGCUAACCACCCGAAGCGUCACGUACCGGAGUCUUCGGACCGAGGGCGUGGUGUGGAGCGUGGGAUCCGAUCCGGUAGUAGUCAAGCGAUGGGGUGACACAGGAAGGUAGCCCAACCGCCGCGAUGGUAGACGGCGGGUAAGCAUGUAGGGGGUGUGGUAGGCAAAUCCGCCACGCAGCCGUUGGAUCGGUGGCCCUGAGAUGUGAUGCCGAGGCCGUAGGGCCGAAGUGGGUGAUCCUAUGCUGUCGAGAAAAACCUCUAGCGAGCCAUGAGCCGCCCGUACCCGAAACCGACACNNNNNNNNNNNNNNNNNNNNNNNNNNNNNNNNNNNNNNNNNNNNNNNNNNNNNNNNNNNNNNNNNNNNNNNNNNNNNNNNNNNNNNNNNNNNNNNNNCAAGUCGAAGCUCAGAAUUUAAGCCCCAGUAAACGGCGGUGGUAACUAUAACCAUCCUAAGGUAGCGAAAUUCCUUGUCGGGUAAGUUCCGACCUGCACGAAUGGAGUAACGACUUUCCUACUGUCUCAACCAUGGACUCGGCGAAAUUGCACUACGAGUAAAGAUGCUCGUUACGCGCGGCAGGACGGAAAGACCCCGGGACCUUUACUAUAGUUUGGCAUUGGUGUUUGGUUCGGCUUGUGUAGGAUAGGUGGGAGACUGUGAAGCAGCCACGCCAGUGGUUGUGGAGUCAUCGUUGAAAUACCACUCUGGUCGUACUAGAUGUCUAACCUAGGGCCAUGAUCUGGUUCAGGGACAGUGCCUGAUGGGUAGUUUAACUGGGGCGGUUGCCUCCCAAAAUGUAACGGAGGCGCUCAAAGGUUCCCUCAGCCUGGUUGGCAAUCAGGUGUUGAGUGUAAGUGCACAAGGGAGCUUGACUGUGAGACAGACAUGUCGAGCAGGGACGAAAGUCGGAACUAGUGAUCCGGCCACUGCGAGUGGAAGCGUGGUCGCUCAACGGAUAAAAGGUACCCCGGGGAUAACAGGCUGAUCUUCCCCAAGAGUCCAUAUCGACGGGAUGGUUUGGCACCUCGAUGUCGGCUCGUCGCAUCCUGGGGCUGGAGUAGGUCCCAAGGGUUGGGCUGUUCGCCCAUUAAAGCGGCACGCGAGCUGGGUUUAGAACGUCGUGAGACAGUUCGGUCCCUAUCCGCCGCGCGCGUAGGAAACUUGAGAAAGGCUGUCCCUAGUACGAGAGGACCGGGAUGGACGAACCUCUGGUGUGCCAGUUGUACCGCCAGGUGCAUGGCUGGUUGGCUACGUUCGGAAGUGAUAACCGCUGAACGCAUCUAAGCGGGAAGCACGUUUCAAGAUGAGGUUUCCCACCCCUAGUGGGUUAAGGCCCCCAGCAGAACACUGGGUUGAUAGGCCGGAGGUGUACAGCAGUAAUGCCCAGCCGACCGGUACUAAUAGGCCGAAGACUUGCCACA
rnacentral:rRNA from 1 species